AAUCCAGAGUGGGAAUUAGUGGUAUCCUGAGUAAUACAUCACACGUGGAACGAUGUAUGAACCCGCGCGGACCACCGCGCAAGGCUAAAUACUAGUUGGCGACCGAUAGUGAACAAGUACCGCGAGGGAAAGGUGAAAAGAACCGCUGUGAGCGGAGUGAAAUAGAACCUGAAACCGUAUGUCUACAAAGUGUCAGAGCAGAGCAAUCUGCGAUGGCGUGCCUUUUGUUUAAUGAGUCUGCGAGUCAGUGUUUGUGGCAAGACUAAGGGCUUCCGGCCCGGAGUCGCAGCGAAAGCAAGUCCGAACAGGGCGCAAUAAGUCGCAGGUACUGGACCCGAAGCGGAGGUGACCUACCCUUGGCCAGGUUGAAGCAUGGGUAAAACCAUGUGGAGGACCGAACAGGUGAACGUUGAAAAGUUCUCUGAUGAGCUGAGGGUAGGAGUGAAAGGCUAAUCAAACCCCGUGAUAGCUGGUUCUCUUCGAAAUGCAUUUAGGUGCAGCGUCACGUGCUGAUGCGCGGGGGUAGAGCACUGACAAGGCUAGGGGGCACACCCGCUUACCAAACCUUAUCAAACUCCGAAUACCGUGCAAUGGAACGUGGCAGUGAGACAGUGGGGGAUAAGCUUCAUUGUCGAGAGGGAAACAACCCAGACCAGCAGCUAAGGUGCCUAAAUAACGCUCAGUGGAAAGGAUGUGGGAUUACACAGACAGUGAGGAUGUUGGCUUAGAAGCAGCCACCAUUUAAAAAAUGCGUAAUAGCUUACUCAUCGAGUGAUCCUGCGCCGAAAAUGAUUGGCGAUCAAGCGUUAUACCGAAGCUCUGGACUUUGCCGCAAGGCAGAGUGGUAGAAGAGCGUUGCAUGCGCGUCGAAGGGCGAUGGCGACUGACCCUGGAGCACAUGCAAGUGAGUAUGCAGACAUGAGUAACGUUAAGCCGGGUGAAAUCCCCGGCCGCCGUAAACCCGAGGUUUCCAGGGCAACGUGUUUCGUCCCUGGGUUAGCCGGGACCUAAGCCGAGGCCGAGAGGCGUAGGCGAUGGACAUCAGGUUAAUAAUCCUGAGCUCGCAACCCUUAAACUGGGGGGACGCAUGAGAAAAGAUGACUAGGUUAUUGAAUUCCGAGUUGAGUCCACGGACUCAGCGCAUCAUUGGAUCGAGUGCCAAGAAAAGCCCCAGCGUAUGCUAAGCGACCCGUACCGCAAACCGACACAGGUGGGUGGGUAGAAUAUACCAAGGCGUAAGAGUGAAACCUGGUUAAGGAACUCGGCAAAUUAACCCCGUAACUUCGGAAGAAGGGGUGCCUGCAGCGAUGCAGGCCGCAGAGAAAUGGCCCAACCGACUGUUUAUCAAAAACACAGCACUCUGCAAAGACGCAAGUCGAAGUAUAGGGUGUGACACGUGACCAAUGCCGAAAGAUUAAGGCAAGGGGUUAGCCGCAAGGCGAAGCUCUAAACCCAAGUCCCGGUGAAUGUCGGCCGUAACUAUAACGGUCCUAAGGUAGCGAAAUUCCUUGUCGGGUAAGUUCC
rnacentral:rRNA from 1 species